UGCCAAGAUGGCAAACCUAGUGAAAGCUGGGGACGCAAAGCCACGGGCCCUUAGCGAACAAGAUCAAAAGAGGAGUUCAAAGGGUAGCCGGGUUACCGAAG
rnacentral:ncRNA from 1 species